AGUCGCGCACUUCCAUUUUCUCGAACCUUUUGGCCGACGGUGAGCACGUGUUUGAAUUGCCGGCGGUUCUUAGUGGAGAUUAUCGCCCCUUAUAUUUCCCGUUUUUCAUAAUACGAAGUAAAUCAGUAAGCAAUUGUGACCGUGACUGAGUUAUCGAGGAAGUGAUAACUCACAAGGGAAGCCAAGAUGAACCCGGAGAAGCUGAAGAAGCUCCAAGCCCAAGUGCGGAUUGGAGGCAAGGGUACACCUCGCCGCAAGAAGAAGGUUGUUCAUGCGACUGCAGCAACCGAUGACAAAAAGCUACAAAGCUCCCUGAAAAAGUUGUCGGUAAACACGAUUCCCGGCAUCGAAGAAGUGAACAUGAUUAAGGAUGACGGAACUGUCAUCCAUUUCAACAAUCCUAAAGCACAAGCAAGUCUUUCGGCAAAUACUUUUGCCAUAACUGGUCAUGGAGAGAACAAACAGAUCACUGAAAUGUUACCUGGUAUAUUGAGUCAGUUGGGACCAGAGGGAUUGACUCAACUGAAACGAUUGGCUAGCUCUGUCGCUGGAAGUGCCGUUGGCAAAGCUGCACUUGAAGAAGACGAUGAGGUUCCAGACUUGGUUGAAAACUUUGACGAAGCGAGCAAUGAGGAGGUGGCACCAAAGAAGGAGACUGAUGAAAAACCAGCUGAAAAGCCUGUCGAGAAACCAGUUGAAAAGCCCGAAGAGAAGAAAGAAACCAUAGCCCCUGUACCAGAGGAAAAAAAAGAUGCACCACUGGCAAAACCUGAAGCUUAAAAACUGUGUUGCACAAAAAUCUAGCUUAUACCACGGAUUGAAAACGGUAGAGCUGUGAUGUCGCCCGUGCCAAGAUAUAUUCAUAUGUAGAGCUGGACCACACGAAGCAGUUUUAACAGUUGAGUUGUGAGGCAUGCUCAACCUUUACACAACAUAUAAUACACACUGACAUACACCAUGAUACAUUUAUAUAAGUUUAAUGAACGAGGAAAAAAAAAUCUUAAAACAGUUGGAAAGUCAGAAGAUUUGAAGUGAUACUGUAUUUUACUCAUUGUUUCAUCCGAAAUAAAUGCUACUUCAAAUCGACUCUGCAGUUUUUUAAAUCAUCGAUGCUUUUUUUACACUUUCGUUUUUGUUUCUAAUUUAAAAUCUUUAACGUAUAUAUGCAAAAAUAUAUCACAAAACAGAUUUUAGCAUCUAAUGGCUGCUCACAACCUUGGAUUGGCUAUAAUGUUGUCAUGACUCAAUGCAACAAAUAUUUCUUUGAGAUCAAUUGAAUCACUCUUGCAGUGCGGUGGUGAUUACUGAACUAUUUAUGGUAAAAACAAUUUUGUUUCUAGUUACCUUAAACCCGUACUGCAAAUUGCACUAUAAUGCAGUAAGUGAGAUGUUUGGCCAGGUGAAAAAUUACUCGUGCUCUAGGCAUUUGUCUGGUGGUGCUAUUUGAAUAUCUGAACUCCUUAGAAGAUGUAAGGAAACGAUGAAAAAAUAUACUAGAGAACGCUUGAUAAGCCCUUAAUUUAGUCAUGUAAGUUAUAAUCACUAUCAUUUUAUAAAAUAUUCUGCAUUGUGUGACAAUUUGUUUUUAUUCUCGCGGGGGGGAUGGGUAUAAUAUUUUGUAAUUCUAAUUUAACCGUUAAAUAAACAACUCUCUGAUGAAAAU